UGUGGGCAGUAUAAGGUACACCUGUGCACUACUCAUGAUGUCGGAUCAGCAUCUUGAUGUGGCAUACCUGUGAGGUGGGAUGGAUUAUGUCACACCCUGUCCUGUCUCCCCAUUCUGUUCAGUCAUGUGUCUCUGUUAAUUGCUCCCACCUACCUCUCUUUUUCCAAUCACCCAAGCUCCCAGCCCUCAUGUAUUUAAACCCUCUCAGUUCUGUGUCUUUUGACGGUUUAUUGUUUCAGUGUCCAGCGUGUUUUUAUAUUAAACUUUACUAAACGUUCGUGUCUAUCUGCCUGCCUUCCUCACCCGCAUGUGGAUCCUCACCUCCGCUUCACUCACCAGCAUGCCGUGACAGAUUAUCUCAGCAAUGCAGAAGUGCUCACUAUCACACAUUUAGAUUGAUUUGUGAACAAUGUUUGAGAAAAAUGGUAAUAUUGUGUAUCUGGAAUGUAUUUUAGAUCUUUAUGUCCAUCUCAUGGAAAAUCGGAGCAGAAACAAAGGUGUUGCGUUUAUAUUUUUGUUGAGUGUAUGUGUAAAUGCGGUGUUGGUCAGAACUUCAGAAUCUCGGAAAGCGGCGUCUCUGGAUGAAAAAGAAUUUGGUUUGUUCUAAACUAUGAUGUUAUCUUCAGAAGCACAUUCAGACGCAAUCUCUGUGUUCUACCUCACCCUUUUGAUGACCUUCGUCACGGAUUCGGAGGUCAGAGAGGCAGGAUGACCUCUGGGCACCCAGGUCCGGUAGAUUGACUGCGAGCACCGACUUCUCCGGUCCAAAAGAUAUCACCACGCAGCACAGGUGUGAGGACCUUGUCGUCAAAACAUCUGAGGAGACAGAAAAAUGGGAACGGUGCGGUAAAGUUAUGAGGAAAAACAGUUCAGAAGUUAACCUUUCUACCUAUUACUUACCUAAAAAUGUUUUUGUGUAACAGAUGAUGCAUUCUGGAUAAUUGGAGUGUCGAGAAAACCGGAUGACUUUUGAACGUUUUGAAGUCUCCUCGACGAGGGAGUGGAGAGCCGGACCAGAACACAUCAUCUCCUUUUCCAAGGGUGAUGAACGAGAUGUACUGAACCUCACUGAGGAAACAGCACCGGCAGGAUUCAGCAGUGUGGUAGGACUGACUUUGGGUUGCAAUGAUUAUAAAUUUAUAAAAAAAAUUUGCCCCCUCAGAGUUUUCAUGAAUGUUAACUAGAUCUAUUAAAGCUUAAAGGGCUUUCUGAUCAGUUUAUCUCUGCUGUCAAAUUGGCAUUUUUGACAUGUGAUUCGAUGAGGAUUAGCUCUCUUCUGGUGGAUGAGGGUGGAAAUGCAUUUUUUGUGUGCCUCUUCCUUGUUGGCUUCACUUUCAUACCAGAAUUAUGGGGGCUGUCGUGGUGGAAAUUAUUCCAUCUAACCACUCCCUGGUUCUUUGGAGGUGACCCUGAAGAGAGAUGCACACUUUAAGCUAGGGCUGGGCAAUAUGGCCUAAAACUAAUAUCACAAUAUAUUGAGGAUUUAACCUCAAUAAUGAUAAAUGGACCAUAACUGCAGGUAAGUUGUCCACUAGAUGGGGCUGUCACAUGUAUUAUAUUUAGUCACAUUUUUACGCAUCUCAAGGUGGUACAGCUUCUUAAAGGGACAUGAAUGUUGCCCAGCUACACACAUCUUUUCAUUUUUUUAUUAUCAAAUUUAUUGACAUGGGAAAAAUGAUCUCGAUAAGAGUCAGAAAUUUCGAUAACGAUACAUUUUCGAUUUAUUGCCCAGCCCUACUUUAAGCCCAUUAUAAUAUGUACACACACAAAGAUCUUUGGUUGGCUUCUGGUGAGAAGAACACAAGCAGUUCCCUGCCGAUGUAUCUUCUAACUUUCGACUCUUCUCGUCAGCCCUUUUAUUGAAUUGCAUGAAAAUUUUUUUAAAUUUUACAACAGUUCCACAAUAGACUGGGGCGUUCCCACUUCACAGUCAUACACUACUCCUCCUCAUGUGAGCGGUCUUCAUGAGUUCACAGUCUAAAGCACCUUCUGACUUUCCCUGACCCUCAACAUCCAGGACUUUUUCUAAGACUGAACUUGUGAUCUCUGGCUCAGCAACGAGGUCAAAAGUUUAUCAAUCAGACACUUCCCCAUGACAUAACUCGUGAUCUUCUUUUGACCACAAGCAGUAAGAGUCAGGCAAUUGUUAUAGAAACUUUCAACACCAAUGUUUUCUGGAACGUUAUCUCUGUUAGUCUGCAGCACUUCGACAAAGUUUUAUUUCCUUAUAUAUGAAGAUUAAAUGAUUGACCAACACAUUCAUAACCUGACAGCAAUUAGACUGAAGUUGACUAUAUUAGUUUAAACAGAAAAGGUUAUAUUGGUUAAGUGUAAAAAUGAUUAUUCUCAAAAAGAUUAUAUUGAUUAGCUUUAAAAAUGAUUAUGCUGAUUAGGGCUGCAAUGAUUCCUCGAGUAACUCGAAUGAUUCGCUGACAAAAAAUAUUCGAGAAUUUUCCGCUGCCUCGAGGACUCGUUAAAUAGACCAUAGCUGAAUAUCCGGCAUUGCGCAUGGAUUCUUUAUGUGUUGCGCAACGCGGUUACGUCACAGAUUAUACGUGCCAUGUACU